UGUAUGCAUGACUGUAAGUUGCUUUGGAUAAAAGUGUCUGCUGAAUGGCAUGUA
rfam:Salmo salar isolate Sally breed double haploid chromosome ssa05, whole genome shotgun sequence.